rnacentral:lncRNA from 1 species
GGAAAAAACCCUAACCCGGGUGUUUGCACCCUAUUUAAACACUCUAACUCGGCCUCCCUUGCCCCUAACACUCCCAGAGAAGUUGAAGGACGAACCCUAGCCCCCCUUAUUGUUCUUGUGAGUGAUUUUGGCCUUGUGAAGGUAGUUGAAGCUUAAGAGAAGAAGAAGCAGGUGGAAGAGUGCAAGGAAGGGAAGUAGAUCCGACAUCUACCCUGCAAAAGGCUUCCAUUCAGGUAGAAAAGCUCCUACCUUGAUCAUUAGUUCGAUAGAUCUCCUUUUUGUCCCUAAUUGGUGGUUUUCAAGCCCUAAAACCCCCAAACUCCAUGUGUUUGUGCUCUAUGAUCCGAAAGGAAUUCAGAUCUGGACCUUAUGGGCAUCUUUGAAGUAUAAAGUCUCUAUGGUUGGAGUUAUUGAGGUUCCUAUUGAGUGUAAGACCUCUUAAAAAGCUUGGAUUUGCCUUCUGAGGAUAUCCUGAACGCAGAUCAAUCUUGGAGAACCAAUAUGCUCCCUGUAGCUGGUCAAAGAGGUCAUUAAUCCUCGGGAGUGGGUAACGGUUCUUCACCGUUACCUUGUUCAGCUUCCGAUAAUCUAUACACAUUCAAUGCGACCUGUCCUUCUUCUUCACAAACAAAAUCGGGGAUCCCUCGGGAGAACAACUAGGUCUAAUGAAUCCCUUGUCUAACAGCUCCUACAGCUGUGUAGACAACUCCUGCAUCUUAGGAGUAGCCAACCGAUACGGUGCCUUGGCUAUCGGGGCCGCACCAGGGACUAGGUCGAUCCUAAACUCCACCUGCCUCUCCAGAGGUAUCCCAUGCAACUCCUUGGGGAAUACGUCCGUAAACUCUCGCACCACGGGCACAUCGCCCACUGUCGCCUUACCCGCCUCCCGGGUGUCCAUGACAUAAGCGACAUAUCCUGCGCAACCCUGCUGAAGGUAACGCCUAGAUUUCGCUGCUGAACGUACAGCUGGUCCUCGCUAUGGCCUCUCGCCCUGAACUACCAAAUCUCCCCCACUUGGCUUCCUGAUCCGCACCAACUGCUGUGCGCAAUCUAUCACUGCCCCAUUAGGGCUCAUCCAAUCCAUGUCUAUAAUCAUCUUGUUCCCUCGCAAAGGUAUGAGAACCAAGUCUACCAGGUAGCGUUCCUCGAAUAAUCUCAGCACACAAUCUCGGAAUACCGCCGAUGCUCGCACCGAUCGAUGAAGACCCAGAUCAAAUCCACUCCCCGCGCGGUCCUGGGAAGCUUUGUGAUAAAAUCCAUCGUGAUGUCUUCCCAUUUCCACAGCGGGAUGUCCAACGACUGCAUAUUGCCGUGAGGUUGCCUUGACCUUCCUGCAAGUCAAGCACCGCUCCACGUACCAUGCCACAUCCCGCUUCAUGUAGGGCCACCAAUAGUCUAGGCGAAGAUCCCUAUACAUUUUCGUCGCCCCGGGAUGAAUGGAGAAUCGAGAUUUGUAUGCCUCCUCCAUCAUAACCUAGCGCACACCCCUGUGGUACGGCACCCACACCCUAAGGCACGGGGUCUAAGCUGUGGACUCGGCGAGUCGGUUCCCAGACUCGGCGAGUAGACCCUGUCUGGGAAAAAACCCUAACCCGGGUGUUUGCACCCUAUUUAAACACUCUAAGUCGGCCUUCCUUUCCCCUAACACUCCCAGAGAAGUUGAAGGACGAACCCUAGCCCCCCUUAUUGUUCUUGUGAGUGAUUUUGGCCUUGUGAAGGUAGUUGAAGCUUAAGAGAAGAAGAAGCAGGUGGAAGAGUGCAAGGAAGGGAAGUAGAUCCGACAUCUACCCUGCAAAAGGCUUCCAUUCAGGUAGAAAAGCUCCUACCUUGAUCAUUAGUUCGAUAGAUCUCCUUUUUGUCCCUAAUUGGUGGUUUUCAAGCCCUAAAACCCCCAAACUCCAUGUGUUUGUGCUCUAUGAUCCGAAAGGAAUUCAGAUCUGGACCUUAUGGGCAUCUUUGAAGUAUAAAGUCUCUAUGGUUGGAGUUAUU